rnacentral:rRNA from 1 species
UACGUAGGGUGCGAGCGUUAAUCGGAAUUACUGGGCGUAAAGCGUGCGCAGGCGGUUUUGUAAGCCAGAUGUGAAAUCCCCGGGUUCAACCUGGGAAUGGCAUUUGGGACUGCAAGGCUGGAGUUUGGCAGAGGAGACUGGAAUUCCUGGUGUAGCAGUGAAAUGCGUAGAUAUCAGGAGGAACACCGAUGGCGAAGGCAGGUCUCUGGGCUGAAACUGACGCUCAUGCACGAAAGCGUGGGGAGCAAACAGG